GCCGGAGUGGCGGAAUCGGUAGACGCACUGGACUCAAAAUCCAGCGGUAGCAAUACCGUGAGGGUUCAAAUCCCUCCUCCGGCA
rnacentral:tRNA from 1 species